GGGCGGCUGGCGCAGUGGUAGCGCGCUUCCCUGACACGGAAGAGGUCACUGGUUCAAACCCAGUGUCGCCCACCA
rnacentral:tRNA from 4 species